AUUGAACGCUGGCGGCAGGCCUAACACAUGCAAGUCGAGCGGGGUUUUCGGACCUAGCGGCGGACGGGUGAGUAAUGCGUAGGAAGCUGCCCGAUAGAGGGGGAUACCAGUUGGAAACGACUGUUAAUACCGCAUAAUGUCUACGGACCAAAGUGUGGGACCUUCGGGCCACAUGCUAUCGGAUGCGCCUACGUGGGAUUAGCUAGUUGGUGAGGUAAUGGCUCACCAAGGCGACGAUCUCUAGCUGGUUUGAGAGGAUGAUCAGCCACACUGGAACUGAGACACGGUCCAGACUCCUACGGGAGGCAGCAGUGGGGAAUAUUGGACAAUGGGCGAAAGCCUGAUCCAGCCAUGCCGCGUGUGUGAAGAAGGCCUUCGGGUUGUGAAGCACUUUCAGUAGGGAGGAAGAGUUGAGUGUUAAUAGUACUCAGCUUUGACGUUACCUACAGAAGAAGCACCGGCUAACUCUGUGCCAGCCGCCGCCGUAAUAC
rnacentral:rRNA from 1 species